UAAUUUGCACCAGUAAACUUCAAGC
rnacentral:piRNA from 1 species